rnacentral:rRNA from 1 species
ACCUGAUCUGGUAGUAGCCAAGCGAUGGGGUGACGCAGGAAGGUAGCUGAGCCAGUCAGUGGUAAUACUGGUGUAAGCCUGUAGGGCGAGACAUAGGCAAAUCCGUGUCUCAUUCAAGCCUGAGAGGUGAUGCGUAGCCGAUUGAGGCGAAUUCAGUGAUCCUAUGCUGCCGAGAAAAGCCUCUAGCGAGCUUUCACACGGCCCGUACCCCAAACCGACACAGGUGGUCAGGUAGAGAAUACUGAGGCGAUCGAGAUAACUAUGGUUAAGGAACUCGGCAAAAUGCCCCCGUAACUUCGGGAGAAGGGGGACCUCGUCCGGUGAUCAUCCUUGCGGUGUGAGCUGGGUGGGGUCGCAGAGACCAGUGAGAAGCGACUGUUUACUAAAAACACAGGUCCGUGCGAAGUCGUAAGACGAUGUAUACGGACUGACGCCUGCCCGGUGCUGGAAGGUUAAGAGGACCGGUCAACUGCACUUGUGUGGUGAAGCUGAGAAUUUAAGCCCCAGUAAACGGCGGUGGUAACUAUAACCAUCCUAAGGUAGCGAAAUUCCUUGUCGGGUAAGUUCCGACCUGCACGAAUGGCGUAACGACUUCUCAGCUGUCUCAACCAUAGACUCGGCGAAAUUGCAUUACGAGUAAAGAUGCUCGUUACGCGCGGCAGGACGAAAAGACCCCGGGACCUUCACUAUAGCUUGGUAUUGGUGUUCGGUUCGGUUUGUGUAGGAUAGGUGGGAGACUGUGAAGCGGUGACGCCAGUUACUGUGGAGUCGUUGUUGAAAUACCACUCUGAUCGUAUUGGAUACCUCAACCUCGGACCAUGAUCUGGUUCAGGGACAGUGCCUGGUGGGUAGUUUAACUGGGGCGGUUGCCUCCCAAAAUGUAACGGAGGCGCCCAAAGGUUCCCUCAGCCUGGUUGGCAAUCAGGUGUCGAGUGCAAGUGCACAAGGGAGCUUGACUGUGAGACUGACAGGUCGAGCAGGGACGAAAGUCGGGACUAGUGAUCCGGCACCGGCAUGUGGAAGCGGUGUCGCUCAACGGAUAAAAGGUACCCCGGGGAUAACAGGCUGAUCUUCCCCAAGAGUCCAUAUCGACGGGAUGGUUUGGCACCUCGAUGUCGGCUCGUCGCAUCCUGGGGCUGGAGUAGGUCCCAAGGGUUGGGCUGUUCGCCCAUUAAAGCGGCACGCGAGCUGGGUUUAGAACGUCGUGAGACAGUUCGGUCUCUAUCCGCCGCGCGCGUCAGAAACUUGAGGAAGGCUGUCCCUAGUACGAGAGGACCGGGACGGACGAACCUCUGGUGUGCCAGUUGUUCCACCAGGAGCACCGCUGGUUAGCUACGUUCGGAAGGGAUAACCGCUGAAAGCAUCUAAGCGGGAAGCCUGUUCCAAGAUGAGGUUUCUCACCCCCUUUGUGGGGGUAAGGCCCCCGGCAGACCACCGGGUUGAUAGGCCAGAACUGGAAGUGCAGUAAUGCAUGCAGGUGACUGGUACUAAUAGGCCGAGGACUUACCACA